UCCAUUGUGAAGUGGAAUCUGAAGGAAGUCGGACGCAAACACUCGCACUGACGAACAGAAAUAUCAUACUGAGGCUAUGUAGAAUGGAUGAAUCUGCUAUACAAGAUAAAGUCCGACACUACCCGAGUUCUAUAUAGUAAAUGAUGCGGUGACAUGAGUGGAAAGUGGUUACGCC
rfam:Staphylococcus sp. HGB0015 genomic scaffold aczIz-supercont1.2, whole genome shotgun sequence.